GAGUGUUUCUUAAAGGUGUUUUGUGGGAGUUUUGUGGAUUACCCUAUUCUGCAUGUUCUUCAGUAGUCCCUGUGAGCUACUGUUUUGGGUUACUGCACCUAUUAAUAAAGGGUGUAUUUGGGUCUUCUUGUGUUUUAGCGCUUUGGUCUUGCUUGGAGGUUUUCCUUAUGAUUUGGCUUCGGUAACCUAUUUGAGUUACCAUUUGGAAUUUGAAAUCGUUUCUGUUCUUAUUUGUUGAGUAUUUGCUAAGCCACACCUUGAAGUUGCUUUGCUUUU
rnacentral:misc_RNA from 1 species